GGCCGCCCCGCCCCUCCGGCUCAGGCCCCGCGGUCCCGGCCGAGCGGCGAGGAGCGCAGGGAUGCACGGGGCGGCCUCGACCCCUCGCCGCAGGGCGAGGCCCGGGGGGCGCGCGGUGGACGCCGAACCCGCCCCGGGGAACGGCACAGGCACGUGCACACGGGUGCAGCCACCCCCGCGGGGCACCCUUCAAGUCCUUCGUGGCGACGGCACUUCUGUGGGGACUGUCCUCGUGUUCCACUGCCCCUCAGGCCACCAGAUGGUUGGGUCCGGCCUCCUCACCUGUGCUUGGAAGGGGAGCAUCGCCGAGUGGUCUUCAGUGAGCCCCGUGUGCAAGUCCGUGCCGCCGUACGAGACCUUCGGCUUCAAGGUGGCCGUGAUCGCCUCCAUCGUCAGCUGCGCUGUCAUCCUACUCAUGUCCGUGGCCUUCCUCACCUGCUGCCUCAUGAGGUGCAUGAAGAGGAGUGAGCAGCCGUCCGACAGGGCAACCCAGCUGUGGCUCCAGCUGAGAGCCGGGGACUUGGAUACGGUGCAGGCCUCCUACCUCGGCCUCAAGGGCCCGAACAAUGGCGGCGGUGGUGGCAGGGACCCCGGGGUCCGCCCUGGCCAGGCUCACGACAACUACAGCUUCACCACAGACCUGGGUGAGGGAACCAGAGAAAUGGCUGGCAUGGCCCGUGGCGUGGACAAGGACCCCUGGACCACCCGUCCUGCUGGCUCACCCCGUGCCCAGGUGAUGGUGCACACGGCGGACCCGGGGCACGCCCUGCCUGCCUCCUGGCCCGCUACAGGAAUGUCCAGGCAGCAUGCAGCCUACGUCCCGGGGUGACUGAGGCAGAGGCCAGAGCCUGCCCUCCACACUGGGAAGACCAGGCCAAUCCCACCACCCAGCCACCUGCAUAUCCACCUGUGCCCAGCUUAAGAGUGCACCUGGCACCCACCAUCCCAUACCGUCUGUCUAUGGACUUGGCUGCCGUAGGGAUCUCAUGUAAGUGGAAUCCUCCAGUAUUUGACCUUUUGUGUCAGCUUAUCUCACUUGGUCCUUAAUGUUCUGUGCAACCAAUUUCCAACGUGUGGAGGGGGCUUCCCCACACACCAACAAGCAGUUCUCAGAAACCAGCAGAGUGGCCUACAGUUCAAUUCACUGCUGACCCUGUCUGCCAGGAGAAUUCGAUCCCACAAGCUGCGGGCUGUCCUAGAGUGUCCCCCACCUGCCAUGCUGCAGACGCCGGCCGUAAAUCCAGGUUCUCACCUGUGCAUCUGACCAACUGGUUGUAAGUCAGAGGUUCCCACCAUCCCUUCCUUAGAUUGGACUAAUUUGCUAGAGUCGUUCACAGAACUCAGAAAGAUGCACAGGGCAGCAUGUGGAGAGAGGACACGGAGAGUCCAGGCACUCUCCAGGCAGAUCACUCUCCCACACCAACGCCGGAGGCUCUCUGAACCCUGUCCCUUAAGGCACGAUUGAUCUAUUCAUUGGCCCUUGGGGAUUGACUCAAGCUCCAGACCCCCUCCUCUCUCCUGAGCCGAGGGGUGGAUUGAAAGUUCUAACCCUCCAAUCACAUGGAGGGUUCUCUGGGCCACCAGCCCCAUUCUUAGGUGACCUGGGGACAUUCCAAAAGUCGCCACAUUAACAUAACAAAAGGCACCUUUUUCUCUCCUUUAGGAAAUCCCUAGGGUUUUAAGAGUUCUGCCCGGAGGAAGACCAAAUAUGUAUUUCUUACUGUAAAUCACAAUAUCACAUUCAACAUCAUGUCCUCAAGGCUCAUCCAUGUUGCAGUAGGUGUCAGAAUUUCCUUCCUUUUUAAGCCUGAACCCACUGUCUGGACACAGCAUAUAUACUAACCCGUUCCUCCGCUCACGCACACUGGCUGACUUCUGCCUCUUGGCUACCGUGAAUAAUGCUGCUCU